CCCUGAAAAUGGAUGGCGCUGGAGCGUNCCACUUAUUCCGGACCGCUUGGGCAGUUGUGUCCUUCUCGCGGAGGAAAGCCAAGCUCAAGCGAGUAGGAGGNCCGCUGUGGUGAGCGUCGAAGCCUGGGA
rnacentral:rRNA from 1 species